UCCCUGGUGGUCCAGUGGUUUAAGAUUCUGCACUUCCAAUGCAGGGGGCAUGAGUUCAAUCCCUGGUUGGGGAA
rnacentral:tRNA from 1 species